rnacentral:snRNA from 1 species
ACCACUUCUCAGCCUUUUGGCUAAGAUCAAGUGUAGUAUCUGUUCUUAACAGAAAGAAAGAAAAAGAAAUGCAAUAUAUAUAAAUAAAUACCCUAUAUACUUUGUGGGGUUUUUUUUGUUUUUUUGUUUUUUUUUUUUGCUUUUUGGGGUCACACCCGUGGCAUACAGAGUUUCAGGCUAGGGGUCGAAUUGGAGCUGUAGUCAGCAGCUUGCACCAUA